rnacentral:rRNA from 1 species
UACGAAGGGGGCUAGCGUUGCUCGGAAUCACUGGGCGUAAAGGGUGCGUAGGCGGGUCUUUAAGUCAGGGGUGAAAUCCUGGAGCUCAACUCCAGAACUGCCUUUGAUACUGAAGAUCUUGAGUUCGGGAGAGGUGAGUGGAACUGCGAGUGUAGAGGUGAAAUUCGUAGAUAUUCGCAAGAACACCAGUGGCGAAGGCGAGUCUCUGGACAUUUCCUGACGCUGAGGCACGAAAGCCAGGGGAGCAAACGGG